rnacentral:antisense_RNA from 1 species
UUUUAUGGCGGUUGUACGUGGGGCGCCUUCGGGCGCGCCGAGUGCCUAGCUUCCUCGGUCUGUCAACCCGCGUACUGCCGCCACCCUC